rnacentral:rRNA from 1 species
GAUGAACGCUGGCGGCGUGCCUAAUACAUGCAAGUCGAGCGAAUGGAUUAAGAGCUUGCUCUUAUGAAGUUAGCGGCGGACGGGUGAGUAACACGUGGGUAACCUGCCCAUAAGACUGGGAUAACUCCGGGAAACCGGGGCUAAUACCGGAUAAUAUUUUGAACUGCAUGGUUCAAAAUUGAAAGGCGGCUUCGGCUGUCACUUAUGGAUGGACCCGCGUCGCAUUAGCUAGUUGGUGAGGUAACGGCUCACCAAGGCAACGAUGCGUAGCCGACCUGAGAGGGUGGUCGGCCACGCUGGGACUGAGACACGGCUCAGACUCCUACGGGAGGCAGCAGUAGGGAAUCGUCCGCAAUGGACGAAAGGCUGACGGAGCAACGCCGCGUGAGUGAUGAAGGCUUUCGGGUCGUAAAACUCUGUUGUUAGGGAAGAACAAGUGCUAGUUGAAUAAGCUGGCACCGUGACGGUACCUAACCAGAAAGCCACGGCUAACUACGUGCCAGCCGCCGCAGUAA